rnacentral:misc_RNA from 1 species
AACAAAUAGUGGUCAAGCCAUUGGAAUAAUAGAAAGCCCACAAGGCUUUGGUCCAAGGGUAAGAGCGUAGCGCAUGAUGUGUGGGUGCAGCCACCAACAAAAGCCAGGUAUGUAAGUAGGUAAAGAGCAAGACUAUUAUCCACCGAGUUUCAAACUGUGCGCUACUGGUCUGGUCCUCAGGGAAAGAAAAAAACUAGCAAACUCUUACAAGCAAGCAUUUCAUUCCUAGCACUUCUAUGCCAACCCUUGAUUCCUCCCUACAAAUUUGUAAACACUAAACCUAUAUGAUCAACAUAAUGUGAAUCACUGUGUGGCGUGAACUUGAGUUAGGACCAAAAAGGAAAAAGGAAAACUCAUGUACAAAUGGUAAUUUGCAUGUCUCAAUGUGCUAAAUCCACACUUGCAGUGCCAAUGCUUGCCUUGUCGACUACGCGUACGUUGUACAGCUCAUAAACUCUUGCACGGUUCUCUGCCCACCAUUUUUCUGCUUGUUUUUCGCUAAACCGCUUCCGACUGAAGCGAACCCUUUUAAGAUCUUUGACGCCUCCAGGUAGGGAGGUAAGAGUAAUAUAUACACCUGGCUCAUCUUGCUCAACCCAU